AAGAAUAUUUGGUGUACAAAUAUUGUCGCAAAAUUCACGUCAACUCCUAUUAUAAUGCAUAAUGUGUACAGUUAAAAUGUUGCAUAAACAAAAAUAAUUAGACAUUUCCUCAUAGUUGAAUUUAAAAAAAUAACGCAAAUUUCGACUAUAAAAAGUAUAACUUUGAAAGAUCCGUUCAUUUGUAGAAGUUCUGUAAUUAUAAUAAUAAAGUUAGAACAACAACAACAAUGAAAUUGUCCUUUGCUUUUCUGUUUGCUUUCAUUGUUAUCUUUGCUGUGAUUGGCGGACAAGUUUCAGCUGCUCCACAACCUAAAAGUCUUAAGAAAUUCUUGAAGAAAACUUUCGGUAAAAUGAAGGAAGUUGCAGCUCCAAUUGCUGGCCAAGUAGCUAAUGACGCAGUUACUAAUCUAAUUUCUGGUUAAACUUUUUGGCAAUGUUAAUAAAUUAAUGAAUUUGGUUAUCUGAGUGAAA